UCAGUUCAUGUGGUAGAGCAAUGGACUGAAAAUCCAUGUGUCCCUGGUUCGAUCCCUGGAGGUACCA
rnacentral:tRNA from 1 species